rnacentral:lncRNA from 1 species
UUUCUGCUUAGGAAUGGGAACCCAGAGUGGGCAGUAGAGCGGAGGCAAGCUAUGCAGAGGCAGGAGCAGAUGAGACCCUAGAUGCCACGAGAAGCUAAACGUGGGGAAAAUAAAGAGCAGAUUAACUCAGGAAAAUUAUAUGGGGAGCUCUUAUGCUACUCUGAAGAUGUGAGACUUGUUGGAGAAUUUACAAUCCCAAAUUAACUCAGGGAGAAUUCCAGCUAGACUCUGAAAUGAAUUAGAUGGAGAUUUAAAAUAGGGCAAUUUAGUGGGAAGAGAUACUUAAUUUGAAGACAGAAUCAUGAAUAAACUGGAGGAUAAGCAGGACCAGAUGAUACCAUGAAG